rnacentral:tRNA from 1 species
AGUAAGAUGGCUGAGCAUAGGCAAUAAAUUGUAAAUUUAUGAACGAAAUGAAAUAUUUCUCUUACUA